AUUGAACGCUGGCGGCAUGCCUUACACAUGCAAGUCGAACGGCAGCGGGGACUUCGGUCCGCCGGCGAGUGGCGAACGGGUGAGUAAUGCAUCGGAACGUACCCGGAAGUGGGGGAUAACGUAGCGAAAGUUACGCUAAUACCGCAUAUUCUGUGAGCAGGAAAGAGGGGGAUCUUCGGACCUCUUGCUUUCGGAGCGGCCGAUGUCAGAUUAGCUAGUUGGUGAGGUAAAGGCUCACCAAGGCGACGAUCUGUAGCGGGUCUGAGAGGAUGAUCCGCCACACUGGAACUGAGACACGGUCCAAACUCCUACGGGAGGCAGCAGUGGGGAAUUUUGGACAAUGGGCGCAAGCCUGAUCCAGCCAUGCCGCGUGAGUGAAGAAGGCCUUCGGGUUGUAAAGCUCUUUCGGCCGGGAAGAAAUCGCAUGGAUUAAUACUCUGUGCGGAUGACGGUACCGGCAUAAGAAGCACCGGCUAACUACGUGCCAGCCGCCGCAGUAAAAC
rnacentral:rRNA from 1 species